AGCGCUGCGCAAGUGGGCCGACGGUCGACUCCGGCAGUGUCAGGGGUUUCAGCUCGCCCCGGAAAGCUGCAA
rfam:Mycobacterium kansasii 824 gmk824.contig.0, whole genome shotgun sequence.